AAUUUUUGACAAUGGGCGCAAGCCUGAUCCAGCCAUGCCGCGUGAGUGAAGAAGGACUUCGGGUUGUAAAGCUCUUUCGGACGGAAAGAAAUCGCGCAGGCUAAUACCCUGCGCGGAUGACGGUACCGUCACCAGAAGCACCGGCUAACUCCCUGCCAGCCGCCGCGGUAAUACUUAGGGUGCGGUCGUGAAUCGGAAUUACUGGGCGUAAAGCGUGCGCAGGCGGUUGAUUAAGACAGGCGUGAAAUACCCGGGGUUAAACUGGGAACUGCGCUUGUGACUGGUCAGCUAGAGUACGGCAGAGGGGGGUGGAAUUCCACGGGUAGCAGUGAAAAGCGUAGAGAUGUGGAGGAACACCGAUGGCGAAGGCAGCCCCCUGGGCCGAUACUGACGCUCAUGCACGAAAGCGUGGGUAGCAAACAGG
rnacentral:rRNA from 1 species